AAUGAAAAUUUUGUUUUUAACCAUUUUUAGUAAAAUUUAUUUAUUUUUUUUUAAUAAAAAUUUUAUAUUUAAAAUAUUUAAUAUAAACUGAAAAGGAAUUUAAUUUUACUUUUAAAAGUAAAUUAUUUUGUACCUUUAGUAUAAGGGGCUUUUUAAAAAAAAUAAAAAUUUAUUUUUUUCGAAAUUAACUGAUCUAUUAAUAAUUAACAUUAUUUAAAUUAUUUAUGUUUCAUAAUAAAUAUUAAUUUAUUAAUAGAAGUGAAAUUCUUUUCAAAGUUAAAGAUAUCUAAUUUUUUUUAAAAAAUAAAAAAUUUUCUUAUAAAAUAAUGAUAAUAUAUAAAAUUAUAAGUAAUUACUUAUGGGAUAAGCUUUAAGUAAAAUUAUAUAAAAUAAAUUUAGUUAUUAUUAAGUAAUAAAAUUUUACUUAUACUGUUAUAAGUAAUUAUUAUUUUUUUAAAUAAAAUAAUUUUUUAUUAAAAUUUAAAAACUUUUUAAAGUUUUAAAAAUGAAAGUAUUAGUAAAAUUUUUAAUUUUUAAUUUUCUUUUUAAAAAAGUUAUAUAAUUUUUAAUUAAAAUUAAGGAACUAGGCAAAAAAAUUUUUUGACUGUUUAAUAAAAACAAUGUAUUUAGAUAUUUAUUAAAUAUAAAUCCUGCUCAAUGAAUUUAUUAAAUUGCUGUAGUAUUUUGACUAUACAAAGGUAUUGUAAUAAGACUUUAAUUGAGUGCUAAAAGAAUGGAAUUUCAAAAAAUCUCUUUCUUAAUUUUAAUAAUUGAAUUUAUUUUUAUUUGUGAAGAAACAAUAAUUUUAAUUAAAGACAAGAAGACCCUAUGAAUUUUUAUUUUAAAUAAGUAAAUAUUUACUUAUUUAAAAUUUAAUUGGGGCGAUAUAAAAAUAUUUUUAACUUUUUAAAAAAAAAAUAUGAACCAUUAAUAAUGAUAAUUUGAAUAAAAUACUCUAGGGAUAACAGCGUAAUAAUUUUAGAUAGAUCUUAUAGAUAAAAUAGUUUGCGACCUCGAUGUUGGAUUAGGAUUAUAUUUUAAUGAAGAAGUUAAAAGUAUAAGUUUGUUCAACUUUUAAAAUCCUACAUGAUCUGAGUUUAGACCGAUGUGAAUCAGGUUGGUUUCUAUCUUAAUUUUAAUAAAUAAUUUUAAUUAGUACGAAAGGAAUUUUAAAAUAAAAAAAUUUUUAUAAUAAAUAGUUUUUGCAUCAAUUUUUGGAUUU
rnacentral:rRNA from 1 species